CCUAUAGUCCGUCGCGACGGUUCCCCUUGGGGAUUAAACGGGAACGCAGAAGCCGAACGCUCCGACACUGAGCACACGGCGAUGCUGCGGCUGCCCCCGCAACUGUGAGCGGUGAAUCUAUCGCCAAAAGGCCACUGGAAAGGACCUUUCCGGGAAGGCGGCGGUGGAUACUGAUCCGUGAGCCAGGAGACCUGCCGUCGGACGUGGUCACAC
rnacentral:ncRNA from 2 species